UUGCCCUAUUAACUCGUACAAUUUUUGAUUUUUCAUACAAGUAUAAAAUAUAUGAACUCAUAUAAGUUGCAAUUUUAUACAUUUUUACUUCCGUGAGGUGUGUGUGGCGUAAAACAUUUGUAUAUUUGCACAUUUUUUGUAUGGAACUUGUAUGGAAAUCUUUAAACUAAGUUAGCUGAACUUAGUACUUGUAUUGAAAUCAUAGUUAAUGCUAAGUUAGGUCAGCUUAGCAGUUACUACUUGUAUUGAAAAUUAUACAUUUACUAACUAAUUCAUGUAUGUAAAGUGAGUUAAUAAAUUCUGUUAGUACCUGUAUGAAAUAUUAUUAUUUCUUAUACGAGUUCACAAAAUUGAUAUUUGUAUGAGUUAAGUAUAAGUUAUACGAGUUGAAUAAAUUAGUACUUGUAUGAAUGAUAUGAACUUGUAUGAGUUAGUAAAUUUAAUACUUGUAUGAAAAUUUGCAACUUGUACUAGAAGUUAAUAAAAUUUGUACUUGUAUGGAAAGCUAUAACUUGUACGAGUUACUGAACUUAUUACUUGUAUGAAAGUUAAUGAACUUAUAUGAGUUGAUAAAUUUUAUACUUGUAUGAAAAAAUUUCCACUUAUUUUUAUAUUAGUUGUGUGAUGAUAAUAAAUUUUGAAUUACCUGUAUGAGAUUUUAAUAUUGUAUGAGAAUUUAAUACUCGUACGAAAAUUUAGAACUUGUAUGAGUUUAUAAUAUUAGUACUUGUAUGAAAUAUUUAAACUUGUAUGACUUUGAUAGAUUUAAUACAUGUAUGAAAAAUUUUAAAUGAAUUUAUAGUACAUAUUUAAGUAUUUCCAUGCAAAGUUUUGUUUUAAUUGUGUUUUUAAUCCUGGUCUUA
rnacentral:misc_RNA from 1 species